AACAUAUGUUCUAACGGAUCAUCAGUAUAGUAGAUCUACCUGUGUUUGCAACACUUGUAUUGAUUCUGUGUUACUUCUCAUCAUCAAGUUAUUCUAGUGUGAUCGUUCGUAGCUCGUUCAUUUCGCGUUCAAGUGUUCAGUGUUCCUUUGGCUUUUUCGCUCAACUACAUCUUCGGCAUAAAUUUACAUUCAGAACGUAAUAACUGACAUUUUCAACCAGCAGAAGAAAUACUUAACGAUGUAUCGUAGUGAUGAGUUUGCAACCUACGUUGAUCACUUCGCAUGCCAAAUUACCGACUUGGAAAAUGAAAUAUCAAAACGGAAGCAGAUCAAUGAGCGCGAAGCGAAAAUAUUUCACGAUCAUCUUACAUCAGUAUACGAAAAAUUGAAAGCAACUGAAACUGAAUCACAAACGUGCCCGGGUAAUAAUCUGUCACCCUCGAAAUUGAGUAAACUUCGUAGAGUCUUCAUGAAGGUAAUAAAUCUUAAAUUAAAAUUGACCGAAAUGUCACCUAUAACCGAAUCAAUGUCAUCGACUGAAGCCAAGGCAAUGAUUAAAUCCAUUUCAACAAAACAGCCCGACAUCGAAAAAAUUCUUCAGAGACAAAAUUUCUUCACUAGACAAAUCGAAUCGCUAGAAGUACAAGCAGAUAUUUGUUCGACAAAAGCUGAAGUAAUGUACGACCAUGUUUCUGAACUUUACAACUGUUUCGUCUCAAAUCAAAUUCAGAUCGAAGAGAACGUCGACGAUGGUGCUACUCUCGAAAUUCAACAAAAUAUCGCUACAGACGUCCAAGCAAAAGUCAUCGAUUUUCAAACGAAACUGAUGAAAAUCAUCAAGUCGAUCCCAACAACGUCAAUUUCGCAGCCUGAUGUGACGAAUGUAAAUUCAGAAAUCCGGUCUUCACCGGUACACAAGACUUCAUUUCAACCCGAACAAACCCAGCAGUCAUCGGAAUCAGAAAACACUCUUCGAUCGAUGGAUCUCAAAUUAUCCAAACUUGAAAGUUUGUACAAAGAUUUAUUGGAUUCGCAAGAAGAUAGAUAUGAUGAUGAAACUUCGACUAAUAACAGUGAGAUCCUCGACUCUCUCAAUGAUAAUUUAGAAGUAUCUAAUGAUAUUAAAAAUAAGAUGGCUUGUCUGGAAGAGGCGCAACAUGAAUUACGCGAAGGUAACGAACGAAGUGAAAAAAAAAUUCUCGAUAAAUUAAAUCAAAUCUUGCAAAUGAACCGAUCCCAGAACUCUAAACGUCAUCGUCAGAGCGUAGAUAAUAUUUCUGUCAACUCCUCACUGUAUACAAAUAGUAGGUAUUAUGUUCCGACAAAUACCGAUUUUUAAUGAAAAAGAAGCGACAUAGUACAUAUAAAUAGGAAUCUUAAUCUGAACUUACACUUUGACUGCUAUACAUACAAUCACAUAAGCACUAUUCUAAUGUUAUUUAAACAAGUAUCUACUCGUGUGUAAAUUGGCCUAAACUAAGUACAUACCUACUUUAUUAGUUUGUAUUUUUUAAAACAUCAAUUAUUUUACAAUUUAUAAAACAUGAAACGUUUCAAAGUAAUUUUGUUAUUUCAACGGUAAAAUUUACUAACGAAUUCGUAAUCACUUAUGCAAUAUUGAAGAUGUUAGAGGCGAUUUCAACUGUAAUGGUUCUUAAAAUACAUUUAUUCAAUCUUAUUGUUUCAUUUGGGAUGGUGACUAAUAAUUACUAAAAAGGCUUCUACUUUAGUUGAAAUUUUCAAAACCUUGUUUUUUCAUAAAAAUUUUAGCUUUUUUUGCUACCAAAAAGUCUCACUUUUCAAAUGUUUCUCUUGUUCGACAGAAAUCGUCAAAAGUAUCAAUAUUUUGCCAAUAGUGCCCAAAAAGUCCCACGUUUUGUUAAAUUGUCAAUUAUGGCCUUGUGCAAAAAAUCGUCAAAAAUUCUCGCUUGUCCAAAAAUUGACAAAAACCGUUUGCUUUUUAGAAAAAUGGUUAAAAUUUUUCGUUUGCAAAAAGCUUUAAAAAAUUCCCCUUUUUUCCAAAAAUUGUCUCGAAGUCUCGCUUUUUUGGCUAAAAAUUGUCAAACAUUCUCGCUUUCUCAAAAAUUGUCAAAAAUUUGCGUUUUUUUAGAAAAAUGGCCGAAGAUUGCCCUUUUUUUAGAAUAUUCCAAAAAGGCUCAAUUUUUUCCCGAAGUUCUCCAAAAGUUUCGCUUGUUUGACAGAAAUUGGAAAGAAGUAUAAUUUUUUACUAAUUUAUCAGGAAGUCGUUGAAUUGUCAAUUCUUGCUUUUUGCCAAGAGAACAUUGCUGAAAAAAAGUGUACUUUUUUCAAAAAAUUACCCAAAAGUCUGUUUUUAGCAAAACAAAAAGGUUACAAAAUCUACAAUGGUUGCGAAAAAAUACCGCCCCCCCCCCCCCCAGUAUAGUUGGACUAAAAAGUCUUGUAUUGUUAAAAUUGCCAAUAUCUUGUUUUUUGACCAAAGCUUCACCUUCUUCAAAAAUUGACAAAAAUUUUCGCUUUUGUAAAAAAAUGGCCAAAGAUUGCCAUUUUUUGCAGCAAAUUCCAAAUAGUCUUAUUUUAAUUGUCCAGAAGUUUCGAUUUUUUCACAAAAAUUGCGAAAAAUCAUUUUUUUUGCCAAUAAAUCAAAUCUACCAUUAUUUCCAGUUUUUUGUUGAAAUUGUCAAAAAUUCUCGCUUUUUUAGCUCAAUUUGUUAAAAAUUUCAGAAAAGUUCAACUUUUUUUCAAAAAUAUCAAAAAAGUUUCACUGUUUUGCUAGAAAUUGGGCCACAAAAGCCCUCCUUAUCGCAAAAAUUUGUACAAGUUUUACUUUUUCAAAGAUGAAAAUAAUUUACGUUUUUCAGCGAAAUGGCCAAAAAGUGUUGGUUUUUUCAAAAAAAAUUAGGCUACAAAAUGUCUCGCACAUCUUCAGAAAUUGCGGGAAAAUGUGGUUUUUUUGAGCACAUGAUUACUUUUUAUAAGGUGAGCUGAUUUUUGCUGAAGAUUUCAAAGUCAUCACAUUUGUGUGCUUUUUUUUAUUACUUACUCAUUGUCAAAAAUUUUCGCACUCUAAAAAUUGAUAAAAUUUUUUGAGUACAUUAAAAUAGCUAUAAAUUGUAAUUUUUUUCGUAAAAAACCAAAAGUGUAAUUCAAAAAAAAAUUGUUAAAAGUUUCGCUUUUUCAUCAGAAAUUUUAAAGGACUCAUUCUUUUACUACAAUUGUUGAAGUUUCGCUUUUGGCCGAAAAUUGUCCACCCCCCCCCCCCAGAAAUUGUAAACAUUCUGCCAAAAGUCUGGAUUUUCAGAAUGCUCUUGCUGAAACUUUAACAUCAUUUCAGCAAAUUCGUUGAUUUUUUUUCAUCUUACAAGUCAGCCAUCUAAAAAUCUACUUCAACGUACACAGAUAUUAGAUACCAAGUAAAAAUUUUAUGAAUUGACCUUUUUUUUCAAGUUUUUGACACUUGGGUUUGGUUUGACAUAAGUAUCGAAAAUUCACAGAAAUUUUUUCCCAGUCCAUCUUCCAAAAAAACUGACAACAGGUUGCACUAAGAAUUUCAACUCGAGUCCUUGAAGAGCAUUCGUCGGUUGUACAUAUGUGCACGUUUUAUGUACCAUACAUACAUUUUUUGUUACCACGCUUCUUCUUACUUUCAUCCGUCACCAAUCACCAUUCGUCCAUAUUUUUCAUCCUGAACCUGCACAGUCUCUUUUGUACUUUCAAAUAUCGAGUUUGUAUCGCCCUUCACCCUCCAACCUACCACCACACAAAGGUUUGCAUCAGUAGGUACAGAGAUACCUAGACCUACGUCUAUUUGCAACAAUACACUAGUAUUGAUUCUGUUUUACAACUGAACUUAUCAUCAAGUUUACAAGUUAUUCUAGUGCAAUCGUACGUAGCUCGCUAGUCGUUCAUUUCGUGUUCAAGUGUGACUUUUUCCUUCGCUCAACUGUUCCAAGUUCUCGUUCCACAAUUGCAUAUUUUUGUACGCGUAGAUUACCGUGAAUUUUGAAACAUCUUCAGCAUCAACUUACCUACAUUCAGAACGUAAUUAACUGACAUUUUCAACCAGCUGAAGAAAUAACGAUGUAUUACGGAUAUCAAAGUAUGCCUAAUGAGUCUACAACCCACGUUGAUCACUUAGCAUGCCAAAUUACUGACUUGGAAAAUGAAAUAUCAAAACGAAAACAGAUCGGUGAGCGCGCAGCGAAAAUAUUUCACGAUCAUCUUACAUCAGUUUACGAAAAUUUGAAACAAUAUGAGACUCAAUCACGAGCCAGUGCGGUUUAUAAUCUGCCAAUAACCUCUAGUUUGAACUUGAGUAGCCUUAGUUUGAACUUGAGUAAACUUCGUGAAGCCUUCACGAAGGUGAUAAAUCUUCGAAUAAAAUUGGCCGAAAUGAUACCUUCAACCGAAUCAACGUCAUCGACUGAAGCCAAGGAAGUUCAAUCCAUUUUAACAAAACAGCCCAACAUCGAGAAACUUCUUCGGAAACAAUCUUUCCUCAUAAUACAAAUCGAAUCGCUAGAAGAACAAGGAGAUAUUUGUCCGACAAAAGCUGAAGUAAUGUACGAUCAUGUUUCUAAACUUUACGACUCGUACAUCUCAAAUCAUAUUCAAAUCGAAGAGAACAUCGACGAUAGUGCUACUCUUGAAAUUCAACAAAAAAUCUCUACAGACGUCCAAGCAAAAGUCAUCGAUUUUCAAACGAAACUGAAAAAAAUUAUCAAGUCGAUCGCAUCAACGUCAAUUUCGCAGCCUGAUGAGGCGAAUUUAAAUUCAGAAAUCCGGUCUUCAACGGAAUACAAGACUCCAUUUCAACCCAAACAAACCCUGCAGUCAUCGGAAUCAGAAAACACUCUUCGAUCGAUGAAUCUCAAAUUGUCCAAUCUUGAAAGUUUGUACGAAGAUUUAUGGGAUUCGCAAAAAAAUAGAUACAAUGAAGAAACUUCGACUGAUAACAGCGAGAUCCUCGACUCUCUCAAUGAUAAUUUAGAUAUAUCUAAAGAUAUCAAAAAUAAGAUGACUUGUCUGGAAGAGGCGCAACGUAAAUUACGCGAAGAUAACGAACGUAGUGAAAGAAACAUUCUCGAUAAAUUGAAUCAAAUCUUGCAAAUGAACGGAUCACAGAGUUCUCUGAGCGCAUAUGCAGCAUAUUAUGAUAAUUAUCGCAGCUCACUACAGAAACUAGAGACAAAUACACUAGAAAUGCUACAGCCGCUACAGGCAAAUAGUUCGAUUCCCUCGGUUCCUCGCAAAUCACGAUUUUCAUGAAAGAAAAGUAGUAUCUUAAUCUGAACUUAAACUUUGACUGUUAUACAAACGCAUAAGCAUUAUUUUAAUUUUAUUUAAACAAAUUAAGUACCGUAAAUUGACGUAAACUACUUCAUUAGGUAGUUAGUAUUUUUUGAUAAAACAUCAAUUUAUAAAAGAUUUUUUUUUUUAUUUUUUUUUGGGGGGGGGGGGGUGUUUAUAAUUACUACAGAUAAAAGAAUUUAUAAAAGAUGAAACGUUUCAAAGUAAUUUUGUUAUUUCAACGGUAAAACUUACCACCUAAGGUAAUUCAUGAUCACUGAUGUAAUAUCGAAGAUGUUGGAGGAGUUUUCACCUGUAAUGAUUCUUGAAAUACAUUAUUCAAUCUAAUUGUUUCA